GUGGGGAGGCAUCUCCACUUCAGGGAGACAUGGCACGUGCACGAAGGGACUGGAACACAAUGAGUGGGGGCCGCUGGCUAAAAUAGCAUGUUAUAAAUUUGCAGAUUUGCCGGGCGUGGUGGUGCAUGCUUGUGAUCCCAGCACUGGGAAGGCUGUGGCAGGAGGAUCGCUGUGAGUUCGAGGCCAGCCUAGGCUACAUCGUGAGUUCAGGGCCAGCCUGAACUACAAAGGGAGACCCUGCCUCAAAAAAAACCCCCACAAAUUUGCAGAUUUGAUUUUUUUAAAUAAUAUUUCGGUUUUUGCAUAGAUCUCCUUUCUAAACUGAGUAAAUGCAUCAUGCAUUUCUUUUUUCUUUUCCCUUUACAGCACUGUACUUAUUUGGGCAGUUAUAAAGCAUCUAUAUAUAUUUUAAUCAAAAACGAAGUAUUUUGGAAGGUGAAUUCUUAGAGCUUCCGUGUGGCUAAGCUGGGUAACAGAGAUAAGCUUCGGACUCUGCUGAGCUCACUGUUUUAUCUGGAUGAAAAGCCGCGGCCUGCACUUGUCCACUCCAGAGCUGGGCUGAGUCCUCCAGCAGCCCCGGCCGGCCUAGACCUCUCCCGUUUUCCUGCCGCCGCGCGGCUUCUUUCCCCUCGGUUCCGAGUCGGGGCGGGCGCGGGGCCUGUGCAGGGGUCCCGGAAGGGAAGAAGGCAGUGCGGGUUCACGUAACGGUCCCGAGAGGGCUAAAGGAAGGGCCGGCGCCGCCGCCGAAGCUCACAGACCGGAAGAAGGGCGCUUAACGUCCCAAGCGCGCCGGUCGGCUUUGGGGCCCCUCGCUGCUGGGGGACCCGGCCCCACACCCCGCCGGCGGCUCUCCGGGACGCUGUUCUGGGGUCGCCUCCCCCCGGCAGCUCCUAGGGAGGCUCGGCGCCUUCCCAGUCCCGCGUGGGCUCCGGGCCGGGCACCAGGGCGCAGGGCUUCCCCUCCGAGGCCCGCAGGUCAGGGUCUACCGCACCGCCCGGCCCAGGAAAGGGAGCCGGGGCGGUGGCCGAGUGCGUCUCCCCGCCCCGUGACGCAGGC
rnacentral:lncRNA from 1 species